rnacentral:tRNA from 1 species
GAUUGUGUAGCUCAGCUGGAUAGAGCGUCCGCCUCCUAAGCGGAAGGCCAGCGGUUCGAAUCCGCUCACGAUCACCA